rnacentral:misc_RNA from 1 species
UUUCCGUAGGUGAACCUGCGGAAGGAUCAUUACUGAGUGAGGGCCCCUCGGGGUCCAACCUCCCACCCGUGUUUAACGAACCUUGUUGCUUCGGCGGGCCCGCCUCACGGCCGCCGGGGGGCAUCUGCCCCCGGGCCCGCGCCCGCCGAAGCCACCUGUGAACGCUGUCUGAAGUAUGCAGUCUGAGACAAUUAUUAAAUUAAUUAAAACUUUCAACAACGGAUCUCUUGGUUUCG